AAUCAACGCUGGCGGCGUGCCUAACACAUGCAAGUCGCACGAGAAAGUGGUAGCAAUACCAUGAGUAAAGUGGCGCACGGGUGAGUAACACGUGACUAACCUACCCUAGAGUGGGGGAUAACCUCGGGAAACCGGGGCUAAUACCGCAUAACAUCUUUGGACGCAAGUCUGAUGAUCAAAGGAGUAAUCCGCUUUUGGAGGGGGUCGCGGCUGAUUAGCUAGUUGGUGAGGUAAUGGCUCACCAAGGCAGUGAUCAGUAUCCGGCCUGAGAGGGCGCACGGACACACUGGAACUGAAACACGGUCCAGACUCCUACGGGAGGCAGCAGUGGGGAAUUUUGCACAAUGGGGGAAACCCUGAUGCAGCAACGCCGCGUGGAGGAUGAAGGUCUUUGGAUUGUAAACUCCUUUCGAUCGGGACGAUUAUGACGGUACCGGAAGAAGAAGCACCGGCUAACUCUGUGCCAGCAGCCGCGGUAAUACAGAGGGUGCAAGCGUUGUUCGGAAUUAUUGGGCGUAAAGGGCGCGUAGGCGGUGCGGUAAGUCUCCUGUGAAAUCUCCGGGCUCAACUCGGAGUCUGCAGGGGAAACUGCCGUGCUUGAGUGUGGGAGAGGUGAGUGGAAUUCCCGGUGUAGCGGUGAAAUGCGUAGAUAUCGGGAGGAACACCUGUGGCGAAAGCGGCUCACUGGACCACAACUGACGCUGAGGCGCGAAAGCUAGGGGAGCAAACAGGAUUAGAUACCCUGGUAGUCCUAGCCCUAAACGAUGAUUGCUUGGUGUAGCAGGUACCCAAUCCUGCUGUGCCGAAGCUAACGCGAUAAGCAAUCCGCCUGGGGAGUACGGUCGCAAGGCUG
rnacentral:rRNA from 1 species